rnacentral:rRNA from 1 species
CCCCUAGAUGUUCUGGGCCGCACGCGCGCUACACUGAACAGUUCAACAAGUCUUAACCUUGGCCGAUAGGUCUGGGUAAUCUUUGAACGCUGUUCGUGAUUGGGAUAGACCUUUGCAAUUAUGGGUCUUCAACGAGGAAUUCCUAGUAAACGCAAGUCAUCAGCUUGCAUUGAUUACGUCCCUGCCCUUUGUACACACCGCCCGUCGCACCUACCGAUUGAAUGGUCCGGUGAAGCGUUCGGACCGUGGCCUUUGGACGGUUCGCCGUCUGUUGGCUGCGGGAAGUUCGUUAAACCUUAUCAUUUAGAGGAAGGAGANGUCGUAACA